rnacentral:lncRNA from 1 species
CCCACUGGGAGUGUUGAAGCUGGAAUGACCCUUCAGAGAUUUCCCAAAUUGAGGUUUUGAUAAGAUUUUGCAAGAUAGUUGCUUACGAACCUAUCUGACACCUGCCUCAGAAAUCAUGCCAAAUGUCAUAAGACUUUGAGAAUCUGUUCAAGAAGAGACCUAGCCUCAAGUGGAUCUCCUAAAUUGUAAACUCAACAAUCGAAUCCAGGUAACUCGGGGAGAUUCCUAAGGAAUGGAAUUAAAUUUGUAAUAUGGUGGUCAUCAGGACAAAAAGGGUCAGAAGGAACAGGAUUGUUGUUCUGUUUUUGCUAAUAACAGAGGCACUGAAUCCUGAUAUAUGACCCUGGUUAAGUCACUUGACUCUUUUGGGGCUCCAUUUUCCUGUCUAACAUGGGGUAUUUCCUAU